AGACAAGUUAUAAAACCCUAGAGGAGUUGCAGAAGAGGAUUGAAUGGUUUGUUGGUAUUGUCUGAUAGCGGAGAAGAAAAGAGACAAGGGUUGAGUUUAUUGGCAGAUAUGCUCGGGAGCAAUUGAUGGCGAAAUACUCCACACUAUUGGACGAAAUGCGUUUGAAAUACCUUUCACAUUCCCUCCUCAAUCAUUAUUCGUGUGCUUCACUGCCAAGAGUAUCCUCCCCAUUUUUAUAUAUAAAGAAAAAAUUUUGGAUGGAGUGAGGAGAUGUAGUCUUCACUUUCCUUAUUCUUUAUGGAAAGCCUCGUGGGAAGCUAUGGAUCGGGAGAAUCAAAUGACUCACGUAUCACACUUGUGCAAGGCGUGUAGGAUUCGCAGGUUCGAGUAGUCAUAGGAAAAUGACUAUAUCUCUCUCAAUACAGGUCGGAAUGAUGUGAUUUCAAAGCUUAUAGAACAAGGACUCAUAGAUCUACAAUUUUUGUGACAAACGUUUUCUCAGAAAAUGUUUUUAGUACACCAGAAAUCUAUCAUGAAUUUGAUGCACGAAUCUGAAAAUUGAAAGUAAGGAAGGGUAUAGCUCUUCUAGGCUAUGGAAUGACUCUUCAAUGUCAUAUGGAUGAGAAACUCUUUAAGGUUUCUAAAUGACUUAAUAAUAAGCAAAUCUUUACUAAACUUCUUCA